CCGUUAACAGCAUUGAACGGCUCAGGGCGCGUCGCUAUCAUUGUCGUCCUCGCUCGCGGGCGAUUGUGUGUAAGGCUAAAGACAACGGUAAAGAAACAACUGGUUUGCUCGUGUGGGAAAGGUGUCUAACGGAGCAAUUCAACAGCAGCAGCCAUUAGGUACUGUUGCAGCAUUCUUGAUUAACAUCGACCCACCACAUCCAAUCUCAAAGAGCUGGCACGGUUGGAUUAGUGAAGGAAAGCUGUGGGUAGAGCAGUGGCUUCCUCAAAGAGAUAAAUUCACCCACACUUCAUUACUGCAUGAGCCGGUAUUCGACGACUGCCCACGGACGAGAAAUAUUUUUCAGUUAUUUUUUAUUUGUCUUAUUUGUCCAAAAAAAUCAUUUUUUCAGUAAAUAUGU